UUGAACGCUGGCGGCAGGCCUAACACAUGCAAGUCGAACGGUAACAGGAAGAAGCUUGCUUCUUUGCUGACGAGUGGCGGACGGGUGAGUAAUGUCUGGGAAACUGCCUGAUGGAGGGGGAUAACUACUGGAAACGGUAGCUAAUACCGCAUAACGUCGCAAAACCAAAGAGGGGGACCUUCGGGCCUCUUGCCAUCGGAUGUGCCCAGAUGGGAUUAGCUAGUAGGUGGGGUAACGGCUCACCUAGGCGACGAUCCCUAGCUGGUCUGAGAGGAUGACCAGCCACACUGGAACUGAGACACGGUCCAGACUCCUACGGGAGGCAGCAGUGGGGAAUAUUGCACAAUGGGCGCAAGCCUGAUGCAGCCAUGCCGCGUGUAUGAAGAAGGCCUUCGGGUUGUAAAGUACUUUCAGCGGGGAGGAAGGGAGUAAAGUUAAUACCUUUGCUCAUUGACGUUACCCGCAGAAGAAGCACCGGCUAACUCCGUG
rnacentral:rRNA from 1 species